rnacentral:tRNA from 1 species
GGAUUGUGGCUCAGUGGUAAAAUGCUCACCUAGCAUGGGCGGGGCCUGGGUUCAAUCCUCAGCACCA